rnacentral:rRNA from 1 species
AUUGAACGCUGGCGGCAGGCUUAACACAUGCAAGUCGAGCGGGCGAGGUUGCUUCGGUAACUGAGCUAGCGGCGGACGGGUGAGUAAUGCUUAGGAAUCUGCCUAUUAGUGGGGGACAACAUUCCGAAAGGGAUGCUAAUACCGCAUACGCCCUACGGGGGAAAGCAGGGGAUCUUCGGACCUUGCGCUAAUAGAUGAGCCUAAGUCGGAUUAGCUAGUUGGUGGGGUAAAGGCCUACCAAGGCGACGAUCUGUAGCGGGUCUGAGAGGAUGAUCCGCCACACUGGGACUGAGACACGGCCCAGACUCCUACGGGAGGCAGCAGUGGGGAAUAUUGGACAAUGGGGGGAACCCUGAUCCAGCCAUGCCGCGUGUGUGAAGAAGGCCUUUUGGUUGUAAAGCACUUUAAGCGAGGAGGAGGCGCUCUAGGUUAAUACCCUAGAUGCGUGGACGUUACUCGCAGAAUAAGCACCGGCUAACUCUGUGCCAGCAGCCGCCGCCGUAA